CCAAUAUCUAUUAGGUAUACAAAUUAUCGUAUAAUCCAAAUCCGAACAGCUAAAUCUCGAGCUAGGUAGCAAAAUCAUACACCAUAUUGGUUCAAAUUUGAUUCGAUUCAUUUCAAGAUACCUGUACUCUGCAGCAACAAGCUCACAUGCUACAAUAUGAUCUACACAGUUUGAAUUCAUCAUCAAUUUGUACGCCGAACAUCGCCGCGUCGCCGUUGUCUCCCAGAUGCGACAUGACAUUGAUCAUCCAUAACUUCCUGCCUCAUUUCUAGACUGUAACGAUCUAUCCGAAGUAAAGUUUUCUGUUCUGAUACGUUGGGGAAUCAUUAUCUGCUUCUUGCAAGAGGGGAAAAAUGUGUUGCUCCGAUGAAGGACAUUGAUCUGCAAAGAUUAUUGUGCAGUUUACAUCGGACAAUGUCAAGGGAGCAGUUUGUGAUUCCAGUAGCUUACUGUAAUCAACCAUUUUUCAGGGACUUACUAAGUCGAGCCAAAGAAGAAUUUGGCUGCAGUCACCCUAUGGGAUGCUUCACUAUUCCCUACAUCGAUGGUACAUUCGUUGAUCUCAUCUCCCAAUUGAAUGAGUCCUGAAAUAAGAUGUAUUUGUUAGACAUGGCCUAGUAAACUAGAUAGUACCAUUCUUAUAUAUGCUCUUUUGUAGGUGGAGAUAAAAGAAAUGCCUCUCCCAAUGAUGUAUAGAGAACUUCAUAUACUAAUUUUAGAAAAUGAAAACAAUUCAUUCCAUGCAAGUGACACCUCUCGGGGCCUAGACCUUCCCAAAUACAUUUUGUUUUGUACAUAAGGAAGUACGUUUUCUACAUGACAUGUCUACCAUAAGCAACAAUUUUUAUCUGGUUUACCAACACCGUACUAAACCUUGAAAGUUGUCGGAGUUCAUCAUUUGUGGGACUCCAAUAGCUGUACUGAUGUAUCACAAAGGCAAAGACUUAGCUGCCAUGUUCGGUUUUGUUCUAUUUUCAGCCAGAUACCUUAGAAUUUUUUUUUAAAAAGUUAGAUUUAUAUUCAAUACAUAUAGACAGAAAUAAUCUAUGCCAUUAAAUGGGUCUCCUGUUGUAUGUUGACAAGGAAAAAAAAAAAAUAAGGGAAAUGGUUUUCAUGUUUCAGGCAUAUCUCUAACAAAAGUCAUGAACUUGCUUAUGCCACGUGCUUAGCAUAACUAACAAUUUUUUACUUUGGCCCCAAUUUUCAGCUAAAAUUGGUCCUUUACUGGCUGAUUUUCCCAAGAAGUUUGGUGACUUUGUUUACCCAAUAUUAUUUCCCGAGUUCCUGAGGAUAAUGGGAGACAGGACCAUGUGAUACAGUAUACUUCACAAGUACUUGCCUUCUGGUUGGUCCCAUUCAGAGAUUUCUCACCACUCAUUUCUUAGAGAAAACUAUUGCUUACGUCACCAUUUUUCUUCUAUACAUAUACUUGUUUUUAAGACCCAAGCAACUCAGAUCUCAAACUUUCAACCACCCACGAAGUUUUCUCGUUCUCUCAAUUGCUAUUGGGAAACCUCAAGUUUCUUCAAUUCUAAAUUCGUUUACUUUCUGUUCUGAAUAACAAAACCAUGGGUUUUCGUCUGGAAAAAAAUUGUAAAUGCUGUGCAAAAUCUAGGACUUUCUUCUCUAGCAACAGACCAAGGAUUGUCUGUAGUCCGCAAAGGCUAUUGUGCAGUUUAUGUAGGAGAGAGCCAAAGGCGGUUUGUGAUUCCAAUAGCAUACUUGAAUCAGCCAUUUUUCAAGGACUUGCUCAGUGAAGCUGAAGAAGAAUUUGGCUACAAUCACCCUUUGGGAGGUCUCACCAUUCCCUGCAGUGAUGAUAAAUUCAUUGAUCUCCUCUCUCAUUUGAAUUAGGCGUGAACGAGAAUAUUAGUUAGACAAUCUUGUAGUUUAUAUAGUACCAUUCUUAUAUACAUUUUUUUUGAGGGAGAGAUAAAAUGCCUUCCCAAAUGAUGUGUACUGGAUUACAUAUACAAAUGUUAGAAAAUGGAGUUAUUUCAUUCAAGUUCUUCUCUUUA